rnacentral:tRNA from 1 species
GAAGCUGUCGUCUAGCGGCUAAGGGCACCUAUUCCGAGCGCGACGGUAACGGGGAACGCUGGUUCGAAUCCAGCCGGCUUCG